AACAAAAACCCUGAAACCUUAUAUUUCUGGCAACUGUAAAGACCCGUUCACACCAAAAGUUAAAUUAAUAAGCCUCAGGCAGAAGGAAGUGCCUCUGCACCUCACUCCC